rnacentral:rRNA from 1 species
CUGGCUCAGGAUGAACGCUGGCGGCGUGCCUAACACAUGCAAGUCGAGCGGAGAUAUAUGUCGAAGGAGCUUCGGCAAAUUCAAUUAUAUCUUAGCGGCGGAUGGGUGAGGAACACGUGGAGAACCUGCCCUUCACAGGGGGAUAACAGUUGGAAACGACUGUUAAUACCGCAUAUGCUCACAGUGCCGCAUGGCACAGGGAGGAAAGCCGAGACGGUGAAGGAUGGCUCCGCGCCGGAUUAGCCAGUUGGCGGGGUAACGGCCCACCAAAGCGAUGAUCCGUAGCCGGCCUGAGAGGGCGACCGGCCACAUUGGGACUGAGACACGGCCCAAACUCCUACGGGAGGCAGCAGUGGGGGAUAUUGCACAAUGGGGGGAACCCUGAUGCAGCGACGCCGCGUGAAGGAGGAAGUGCUUCGGCAUGUAAACUUCUAUCAGCAGGGAAGAAGAUGACGGUACCUGCACAAGAAGCCCCGGCUAACUACGUGCCAGCCGCUGC